AGCAUUUUAUUGUCCUCUCCCCGGCAUGGGGGAAGCCCUGCUCACUGGCAUGGGAGGCGGGAGGCUCUAGCGGCAGAGCUGGGAAGGCGGGUCUUCUGGGGCCCGCGGGAGGCUCAGCAGCUUGCUGCCCUGCCCACAGGGAACUGAAACCUGGCUCUCUGUGAGCAGGAAAACACCUUUCCAGCGUCGGCGCCACAGACGCCUGAGAGCCUGGGAGGGACGCAAAGGUCUCUGGGCCCCUGCCCACACGAGGACGUGCUGCCCCUGCCCAUGCUUGGACCACGGACAGGAAGUGACUUUCCGAUCGGAAUCAGAACCAGCCGGGCAGGCAAGCCGAAGUAGCCGCCACCCCCAACAGUUAGAGCAAAAGGUUUGGGAGCAGAGUGAAAGACCGCGUUCCAGUGGGGGCUUAGGAGAGACAGGCCCCAACCUCAUCAAAGAUGCCGAUGAAGCAAAAUGACCUGUCUUUGACCUCAGUCAUGAUGGAGUCUGACCGCACGAUCGCCCUCAUCAAAUAUGGCAACAGUGCCAUAAGACUUGUCUGUCUUUGACCUCAGUCAAGACGGACGUACAUACAUAGCCCAAGAAACCUCGGAUGUAGUAGAUGGCUGGCAGAGGCUUAUUUCCCACCGCUGAGGCAGAGAGAAAUGAGAUCCAGUGGCUUUUGAUCUCUGGCAUGCCAGAGAUUGAGGAUUCAAACGGCGCAAACCACUCAAUGAUUCUUCAAACCGAGAGUGGGGGCCAGGGCGAAGCCCAAGGGACAGGUGGGACACGUGGUCACCCAGUAUUGGGGCUUCUGAAUGGAAAGGAAAGGACAAGGCGGUCUGGACAAAAAUCUCCGCCUCCCUUUACAGUGCUCUGCGUGCUGUUCACCAGGAGCCUUCCUGCACGGGGUUCUGUUUCUAUGCACCCUCCUCCCUGGAGCUGCUACUACGGUCUCCACGUGCUAUAAACUCAACCCUGAGCUUGCCUGGGGGUUCACUCAGAAGACAGGAGGAUUGUGAGCAGUGAUACCAUGAUGUGAAUGGCCCUGGACAGCUCCAUGGGUUGUGAUGCUGGGCUAGGAGGCCCUCGUGGAAGAGGAGAGGAACUGGAGUCAAGAUUGUUUUCUAUGUGAGCUCAGGGUUGUGCCUUUUCCUAGCACCAGAGCCUCGUAGGCCUGAGUUUCUAAUCUGAUUGAGCUGCCCGCACUAUCUCCCUCCUCCACUUAUUUAUGAUUAUGAUGUGAAAAUGACUCUCACUAUUUAUUAGUAAAUGGAUCCUGUGCACAAACACUAAAGGAAACCUGGGACAGAUCUAAGCUACCAUUCCAGCACCCACUGGUGGUCGUUUCUCAGCUCCAAAAGGGCCCAUGCGACCUUCUGGCCCAACCUCUUCCCUCCAGGUCAUCUUUCUCCUUCUCCUCCAUCCUCCAAGACUUACUGAUCCAUUCUGGCCAGCUGAAUGGAAAUUCUUUUCAAUUCAACAAUGAACCAGCAACAUGAACAGAAAUCCCAUAACAUUUCCCCUUUUUGUCUAAUAAGAAGGGGAAGGUUCUAACUCUAACAUAGUAAAACUAUGUACAAUAAGAAUUACUAUCAAGAACUGUUCAAAUAGAAAGGAAAGGCAAUAACCUCAACAAAAAAAAAAUGAAAGUACAUACAACAAGAACAAUUAUCAAGUAAGAAAUACAUUCUCUAUACAGCAAUGAUUUCCUAUGCACAGAAUCUCUGUUUUGUGUGAUGGAAAAGCCCUACAAAUGGACAGUAGUAUUAGGACAUAAUAUCAUGAAUGUAUAAAUCAAUACAAUUAAUGUAAUUAAUGAAUAUUAUAAAUAAAACUAUUAAAUGAAUACUGUGAGUGUAAUCAAUGAAUAUAACAAAUGUAAUUAAUAUGACUGUAAUUAAUGAAUAUCAUGAAUGUAAAUAAAUAAAUAAAUAAAAAUAAAAGAAAUACAUUCUCAAUGUCCAGUCCAUAAGUAAUUGACAAAUUUAUAGAGAUUACUCCAAUAGCCUUCCUCUCCUGAAGAGUUCAAAGUUUUGUACCUAAUAGACCUUUUGCCAAGA